UUCACCCCCAUGGGGGAAACCACUGUGUCGCUUCGGUCUCUGUCUCUGUGUAGUUAGGAUAUUCCAUUUUGUGGGAUAUUCUGUGUCUAUGGUAUUCACGUUCAUAAUUAAUUAGGUUAAUUGGGACUCCAAGCGUUUAAAAUACACUUAUCAAAUAAUAACAAUGUAUUCUGUAUUAUAUAAAAAAGAAAAUGCUCAUGAAGAGAGCAUUUGGAGUUGUGCUUGGGGAAGAGCUACAAACGAUAGAAAGAAAAAAAUCAAUGAUCAAAAUGGUGAAGAAGAAAAUUCUAGUUGGGGAUAUAUGGAAGCCUUACAGUCUUUGUUAUUUCUCGUAGGUAUUAACAAUAAUAAUGUACGUUAACUACAUGACCAUUCAUUCCCAUAAAAAUUUAUGACAAUCUUGCGAUAUCUUAAAGAUUAUGAAUAUUUCUUGGUGAUUAUUAGGAGAUCCUUGUGAUGUCUUUCAGAUUAUGGGAAUUUUUGUACGAUUUUGCAACUUCUCUUCAAAACACAAGGCUUUUAGAAAUUUCAAUACUUAUCAAAAUUUUCACUGAUUUUUUAAGAACUUAGCAAUAGUUAUUGUAUUAAAGUUUACAAGACAAAGCAAGAAAAUUUUUUAUUUACUCUAAAAAAUUACAAUUCGGUGACUUCGCACACACUUUAUACCAAGUGAAUCAUUAACAAAAAAUGCAAAGACGAUUGUUAUAUACAUUUAAGUGCCUGAGAAAUAUAUUAGAUGUAGGACAGAUAAAAAUAAUAUAGGGGACUGUGGAGAUAUUUAAUUUGGUUUUAGGGGACGUGUACAAAUUACAUAACAGCAUUUAUUUCAAUAUUUGACCCCUCACACCCCACAUAAGAGACCAUAAGUUUUGCAGAACCCUAUUUUUCACAGUGACAUAUUAGUGGUGUAAUUUUGACAAAAAACUAUUUCAGUUCAUAAAUAUUUAUUUAAUAUAAUCUGCAAGAUUAACACAAGUCAAAAAAUAUUUGUUUAAUUACUGGUUGGGAUAACAACGAAUUAUAUCUGCACAAUUUAUUUCUGCAAUGUUAUCUAGGUACAUCUUUUUUCCUAACUUUUUUUCUUGAAAACAUCAAAUUCAAAAUUCUUUGUUUUAUUAAUAAAAGAUGAUGCAAAUGAUUUGCUUGCUUUAAUAUUACUGCCUUCAGCAUUACCAUUAUAAUUUUCCAUACUAACAAAGUUAGUUAGUUUCAUCUUUUCGCAAUGCAGGGGUCGCCCAAAUACUGAAUUCCAUGUACGCACAUUUUUUAUUUUGUCAGAUUCGUACGACACUCGUAUGUUGAACAUUUAAAAAAUAAAGUAAACAAUUAUUCUUAGCACAUUU